rnacentral:rRNA from 1 species
CUUGUCCUACGGGGGGCAGCAGUGGGGGGUAUUGCACAAUGGGGGAAACCCUGAUGCAGCGACGCCGCGUGGGCGAAGAAGUAUUUCGGUAUGUAAAGCCCUAUCAGCAGGGAAGAAGAAAUGACGGUACCCGAGUAAGAAGCACCGGCUAAAUACGUGCCAGCAGCCGCGGUAAUACGUAUGGUGCAAGCGUUGUCCGGAUUUACUGGGUGUAAAGGGAGCGCAGGCAGCACGGCAAGCCUGAUGUGAAAGCCCGCGGCCCAACCGCGGGACUGCAUUGGGAACUACCGGGCUGGAGUGCCGGG